GGCGAGGUAGCUCAGUUGGCUAGAGCAUGCGGUUCAUACCCGCAGUGUCGGGGGUUCGAAUCCCUUCCUCGCUACCA
rnacentral:tRNA from 1 species